rnacentral:rRNA from 1 species
GACGAACGCUGGCGGCGUGCUUAACACAUGCAAGUCGAACGGGUCUGCCCUGUUUUUUGCGGGGUGGGUCAGUGGCGAACGGGUGAGUAACACGUGAGUAACCUGCCCCUCACUUCUGGAUAACCGCUUGAAAGGGUGGCUAAUACGGGGUGUUCUGGCUGUGCCGCAUGGUGUGGCUGGGAAAGAUUCACUUUUGUGGUGUUUUGGUGGGGGAUGGGCUCGCGGCCUAUCAGCUUGUUGGGGGGGUGAUGGCCUGCCAAGGCUUUGACGGGUAGCCGGCCUGAGAGGGUGGGCGGUCAGAGUGGGACUGAGAUACGGCCCAGACUCCUGCGGGAGGCAGCAGUGGGGGGUAGUGCACAAUGGGCGGAAGCCUGAUGCAGCGACGUCGCGUGAGGGAUGGAGGCCUGCGGGUUGUGAACCUCUUUCGCCGGUGAAGAAGGUCCUGCUCUUUGUGGUGGGGUUGACGGUAGCCGGGUUAUGAAGCGCCGGCUAACUACGUG